AUUGAACGCUGGCGGCAGGCUUAACACAUGCAAGUCGAGCGGAGAUGAGGUGCUUGCACCUUAUCUUAGCGGCGGACGGGUGAGUAAUGCUUAGGAAUCUGCCUAUUAGUGGGGGACAACAUUCCGAAAGGAAUGCUAAUACCACAUACGUCCUACGGGAGAAAGCAGGGGAUCUUCGGACCUUGCGCUAAUAGAUGAGCCUAAGUCGGAUUAGCUAGUUGGGGGGGUAAAGGCCUACCAAGGCGACGGUCUGUAGCGGGUCUGAGAGGAUGAUCCGCCACACUGGGACUGAGACACGGCCCAGACUCCUACGGGAGGCAGCAGUGGGGAAUAUUGGACAAUGGGGGGAACCCUGAUCCAGCCAUGCCGCGUGUGUGAAGAAGGCCUUAUGGUUGUAAAGCACUUUAAGCGAGGAGGAGGCUACUGAGACUAAUACUCUUGGAUAGUGGACGUUACUCGCAGAAUAAGCACCGGCUAACUCUGUGCCAGCCGCCGCGGUAA
rnacentral:rRNA from 1 species